rnacentral:rRNA from 1 species
GGAUAACGUUUGGAAACGAACGCUAAUACCGCAUGAUAUUAUUGAGCUGCAUGGCUUGAUAAUCAAAGGAGCAAUCCGCUGAAAGAUGGGCUCGCGUCCGAUUAGGUAGUUGGCGGGGCAACGGCCCACCAAGCCGACGAUCGGUAGCCGGACUGAGAGGUUGAACGGCCACAUUGGGACUGAGACACGGCCCAGACUCCUACGGGAGGCAGCAGUGAGGGAUAUUGGUCAAUGGGGGAAACCCUGAACCAGCAACGCCGCGUGAGGGAAGACGGUUUUCGGAUUGUAAACCUCUGUCCUCUGUGAAGAUAAUGACGGUAGCAGAGGAGGAAGCUCCGGCUAACUACGUGCCAGCAGCCGCGGUAAUACGUAGGGAGCAAGCGUUGUCCGGAUUUACUGGGUGUAAAGGGUGCGUAGGCGGCUUUGCAAGUCAGAAGUGAAAUCCAUGGGCUUAACCCAUGAACUGCUUUUGAAACUGCAGAGCUUGAGUGGAGUAGAGGUAGGCGGAAUUCCCGGUGUAGCGGUGAAAUGCAUAGAGAUCGGGAGGAACACCAGUGGCGAAGGCGGCCUGCUGGGCUCUAACUGACGCUGAGGCACGAAAGCGUGGGUAGCAAACAGGAUUAGAUACCCUGGUAGUCCACGCUGUAAACGAUGAUUAGUAGGUGUGGGUGGACUGACCCCAUCCGUGCCGGAG